rnacentral:rRNA from 1 species
GCUCUUUUACCCGGGAUGAUAAUGACAGUACCGGGAGAAUAAGCCCCGGCUAACUCCGUGCCAGCAGCCGCGGUAAUACGGAGGGGGCUAGCGUUGUUCGGAAUUACUGGGCGUAAAGCGCACGUAGGCGGUUACUCAAGUCAGAGGUGAAAGCCCGGGGCUCAACCCCGGAACUGCCUUUGAAACUAGGUGACUAGAAUCUUGGAGAGGCGAGUGGAAUUCCGAGUGUAGAGGUGAAAUUCGUAGAUAUUCGGAAGAACACCAGUGGCGAAGGCGACUCGCUGGACAAGUAUUGACGCUGAGGUGCGAAAGCGUGGGGAGC